AAUCCAAUACAUCCCCCUAACUUUCCCCCAAAUCUCAAAAGGAAAAUCAAAAUCGGGACUCACCCACAAUCUCACUUUCCCCAAAUUGAAACCUUAAUCUCUACCACCCAUAACUCAAUCGAAGAAUUCCCCCAAUUUCAUUUUCUAAUUUCAAUUUAAGCUCUCACCAACAAUUUCAUUCGGUUUACUCUCUAGCUCGACCCAUUCCGUUUUCACACUCGACCAACAAUCUCAUUCGGUUCACUAUCAUUAAGCUCCCGUUUUCAACAAAUUUCUGCUGGGUUCACUCUCUAGCUCGACCCAUUCAGUUUUUCAACAGAUUUCCGCUGGGUUCUUGAUCUCAUUUCACAGAUUUUCAGAUUUCCACUGGGCUCUUGUUCUCGUUUCACAAAUUUUCAAGAUAUGAGUGAAAGAGAAAAGUUUGAGCUUGAUAGAAAGGAGGAUCCUUGGAGGUUUGUCUGUAUCCGAUUUGUGUCCUCUAAUCAAGCUGGUAUAUAUGGACUCCACAAUGUCUGUUGAGAAGUUUAUGAAAGGGAUGUGGCUAAACUAAGUGAAGAGCAGUCUGAGGUUAGAGAGAUGAUACAAAUUUGAUACUCAUGAGCAGAACCAUGAUGUUGUUGCUGGUACCUAAAGGAAGCAAAAUAACAGGUACAACUAUGUUAACUGUGUUGUGUUUAAUUUUAUCAACCAGAACUAUGUUUAAUUUUAUAAAUUCAGUUCUAGUUUUGUGUUAUGAGUGGAAGGCGGUUUAGAACAAUGAUGUCAAUGACCCAAAAUCUAGCUCUGCAACAUUGGCUUGAAGUUGUUAUCCAUAGUUACUUAUAUUUGUGUUCCUGCUGCAAGAAGUGUUUAGUUUAGAUCGGUGGUAGUCUGAACAUCCUUUUUGGGCAGCAAAGGAGAACGCGUAGUAAAAUGCAAUUAAUCGGGAAAGGCUAGCGGUCCCUCAUACAUGUGUUGCUUUGCACCAGUAAUUGAGUUGGCUGCACGUGUUGCUGAUGUUACUCCUCUUCCUCCUUGUCUAUUUUUAAUGCCCUUACUUGUUCUCCCAACAUUCCAUCUCCGGCACUCCAAAUUUCAGCAUCAUCGCUGACAACAGCUGGUGAAAAUUUGUCAUUUCCUAUUUAGCUUCUCUGCUAUAUGCUUAUAUUUAGAAGGGAAUAAAAAAGUCGUACCUCUAAAAGCACACAACCUAGCAUCAACUAAGGUCAGCCCUCAUGAUAAAUGACAUAAUAUCUGUUUGCAUAGCACUUUCUAUGCUUUGUUAGAUGAUAGUUUAUGUCCUAGCUUCCUUUUUUUGGCGUAUUGCAUUCUUUUUGAACUUGUUUGUCGAUGUUACAUAGCAAUGCUUUGAAGAUGAAGCAGCCCACUCGUUAAGUUAUUAAGGUCUAUUUAUCAAAUGCAAUUUGCAAAACACAUGCUGAAAUCUCUGCAUCGAGUACCUUAUAAAUAUUUGUCUUGAGUAUUCCAGCAACUAUGUGUGUGAACCUCGCAAGUUUACUGAACUGUUGUACGAUAAACAUGAAACACAACUCAUAACAAUUGUUGAACUGUUGUAAUUUGCUGAACUGCAUAUAUAGUCAAUUGAAAACAUUUCACUUGUAUUUGCUGAACUACUAUAUGCAGGAACAAUUGCAAGCUGAAAUGCAAACAAACUCAAUUUGAGAAUGAAGCAUUUGUCAAAGGGUUUGGAAAGGGACAUGUUGGAUAUGUCAAUUUGCGAAUGAAGUAUUUGUCAAAUUGUUUGGAAAGACAUUCAUCUCAGUCUAGCUAUUGUCUUGAGGAUCAUGGAGCACCUUGACUAAGGGAUACCUAGAUAUUUUUAUAUAGUUUUAACUCUGAUACAAUAGUUUUGAAUGUCUAGGCGACUUAAAUUUCCACUAGUGUUUUGGUUUUUGAAUGUUUAAACCAUGUACUUUAUCUAUUGUUUUGAUUGUUACUAUUAAAAGAAUUAUAUUUA